GAUGAACGCUGGCGGCGUGCCUAAUACAUGCAAGUCGAGCGAACGGACGAGAAGCUUGCUUCUCUGAUGUUAGCGGCGGACGGGUGAGUAACAUGUGGAUAACCCACCUAUAAGACUGGGAUAACUUCGGGAAACCGGAGCUUAUACCGGAUAAUAUUUUGAACCGCAUGGUUCAAAAGUGAAAGACGGUCUUGCUGUCACUGAUAGAUGGAUCCGCGCUGCAUUAGCUAGUUGGUGAGGUAACGGCUUACCAAGGCAACGAUGCGUAGCCGACCUGAGAGGGUGAUCGGCCACACUGGAACUGAGACACGGUCCAGACUCCUACGGGAGGCAGCAGUAGGGAAUAUUGCGCAAUGGGCGAAAGCCUGACGGAGCAACGCCGCGUGAGUGAUGAAGGUCUUCGGAUCGUAAAACUCUGUUAUUAGGGAAGAACAUAUGUGUAAGUAACUGUGCACAUCUUGACGGUACCUAAUCAGAAAGCCACGGCUAACUACGUG
rnacentral:rRNA from 1 species